UUCGCCCUUAGAGUUUGAUCCUGGCUCAAGAUGAACGCUGGCGGCGUGCCUAACACAUGCAAGUCGAGCGAAGCACUUUACUUGAUUUCUUCGGAUUGAAGGUAUAGUGACUGAGCGGCGGACGGGUGAGUAACGCGUGGGUAACCUGCCUCAUACGGGGGGAUAACAGUUAGAAAUGACUGCUAAUACCGCAUAAGACCACAGCACCGCAUGGUGCGGGGGUAAAAACUCCGGUGGUAUGAGAUGGACCCGCGUCUGAUUAGCUAGUUGGUAAGGUAAGGGCUUACCAAGGCGACGAUCAGUAGCCGACCUGAGAGGGUGACCGGCCACAUUGGGACUGAGACACGGCCCAAACUCCUACGGGAGGCAGCAGUGGGGAAUAUUGCACCAUGGGGGAAACCCUGAUGCAGCGACGCCGCGUGAUUGAUGAAGUAUUUCGGUAUGUAAAGCUCUAUCAGCAGGGAAGAAAAUGACGGUACCUGACUAAGAAGCACCGGCUAAAUACGUGCCAGCAGCCGCGGUAAUACGUAUGGUGCAAGCGUUAUCCGGAUUUACUGGGUGUAAAGGGAGCGUAGACGGAGAGGCAAGUCUGAUGUGAAAACCCGGGGCUCAACCCCGGGACUGCAUUGGAAACUGUUUUUCUAGAGUGUCGGAGAGGCAAGUGGAAUUCCUAGUGUAGCGGUGAAAUGCGUAGAUAUUAGGAGGAACACCAGUGGCGAAGGCGGCUUGCUGGACGAUGACUGACGUUGAGGCUCGAAAGCGUGGGGAGCAAAAAGGAUUAGAUACCCUGGUAGUCCACGC
rnacentral:rRNA from 1 species